GACAGAGGGGGCAAGCGUUGUUCGGAAUCAUUGGGCGUAAAGGGCGCGUAGGUGGUUCUGUAUGUCUACCGUGAAAGCAUACAGCUCAACUGUAUUUUGUCGGUAGAAACUGCAGGACUUGAGGCUGGGAGGGGCUGGUGGAAUUCCCUGUGUAGCGGUGAAAUGCGUAGAGAUGGGGGGAGAACACUCGUGGCGAAGGCGGCCAGCUAGACCAGUUCUGACACUGAGGCGCGACAGCGUGGGGAGCAAACAGG
rnacentral:rRNA from 1 species